rnacentral:rRNA from 1 species
ACACGACUACAUUAGAUACCCGGGUAGUCCUAGCCGUAAACGAUACUCGCUAGGUGUCGGCCACGGUGCGACCGUUGUCGGUGCCGUAGGGAAGCCGUGAAACGAGCCACCUGGGAAGUACGGCCGCAAGGCUGAAACUUAAAGGAAUUGGCGGGGGAGCACAACAACGGGUGGAGCUUGCGGUUUAAUUGGAUUCAACGCCGGAAAUCUUACCGGGACCGACAGCAACAUGAAGGCCAAGCUGAAGACUUUGCCGGAUUAGCUG